AUGGAGAAGUGCAUGAAGCGCGCCCAAGCAAUAUUGUUCCUUCUUGUAUGCUUUGCUAUCCAUGCGCAAUGUAGAGGAAUAGGCGUGCAAGAUUAUGGAUACCAAGGGUGCACCUCUAAGGGUAAAAUACGCACAGGGUGCUAUACCUGUUUACCCCUCGAGGUGUGCUAUUCGACAUUGGCCGACUGCAAAGCCCACUGCACACGACCUCCGGUCACAAUCACCUCCCUGGUAGUUCCUCAUUAG
rnacentral:rRNA from 1 species